UUGAGCUUCAGGACAACCAAGCUCAGUCAGGAAGGAAGCUUUGAAAACAGAAAGCUGGUGAGGAUGUAAUUGAGUGAGGGGCCGUGGUCCAGCCCCAGCAAGCAGCAGAACUUGGUGGCUUCAGCCUCGUGGUUCUGAGUUUAGAGUGAAGGACAGAAGAAAGGAGUCAUGGAAUCUCCCUCUGUGACUAAGGAAAGUCACUGAGACCAGUCGUGUGUCAGGGGUGUCCCUGCAUAGAGACCGAGAGAGGCCAUUGUGUGAAACUGUGAAGCUGAAGCCUGGAUUGUCUUGGAGACCCCAAGAUGUUGGAGAUGCCAGAGCCAUGGGAUACCUGCUGAGGAGAGCUGCGAACAGGGAGUGGAACCAGCUCAAGAGAGAGAAGUGUGUUGCAGUCAACAAAGCUGAACAGAGCUUGCUGAUCCAAGAUGAAGAAAGGGAAUGCAAUGGCGGUCACCUCCCGCAGGGUUCCAAAAGAAGCCACUUCCUGUCAAGCAAAACGGGGGACACUGAGGUGGCUCAGUGUGCAGAGGUGCUCGCUGCCAAGCCUGGUGACUGGAGUUUGAUCCUCAGAAGUUGUAGAGUGGAAG